AUUGAACGCUGGCGGCAGGCCUAACACAUGCAAGUCGAGCGAGAGGCGGAGGGGGGAGUAAUGUGCGGGAAACUGCCUGAUGGAGGGGGAGAACUACUGGAGACGGUAGCUAAUACCGCAUACGAUCAGAUGUGCCCAGAUGGGGUUAGCUGGAUGGUGGGGGAACGGCGCACCUAGACGACGAUCCCUAGCUGGUCUGAGAGGAUGACCAGCCACACUGGAACUGAGACACGGUCCAGACUCCUACGGGAGGCAGCAGUGGGGAAUAUUGCACAAUGGGCGCAAGCCUGAUGCAGCCAUGCCGCGUGUGUGAAGAAGGCCUUCGGGUUGUAAAGCACUUUCAGCGGGGAGGCGUUACCCGCAGAAGAAGCACCGGCUAACUCCGUGCCAGCAGCCGCGGUAAUAC
rnacentral:rRNA from 1 species